rnacentral:rRNA from 1 species
AGCGAACGCUGGCGGCAGGCUUAACACAUGCAAGUCGAGCGGGCGUAGCAAUACGUCAGCGGCAGACGGGUGAGUAACGCGUGGGAACGUACCUUUUGGUUCGGAACAACACAGGGAAACGUUAGUGCUAAUACCGGAUAAGCCCUUACGGGGAAAGGAUUUAUCGCCGAAAGAUCGGCCCGCGUCUGAUUAGCUAGUUGGUGAGGUAACGGCUCACCAAGGCGACGAUCAGUAGCUGGU